GGUUGCAUAGUGUAAUGACUAGCACGCUCUAAACUUUGUUCUCUAGAGAGAUGUCGGUUCAAAUCCGACUGUAGCCC
rnacentral:tRNA from 1 species